rnacentral:rRNA from 1 species
GACGUAGGGCGCGAGCGUUGUCCGGAUUUAUUGGGCGUAAAGAGCUCGUAGGCGCUUGUCGCGUCGUUCGUGAAAACCUGUGGCUCAACUACAGGCUUGCGGUCGAUACGGGCAGGCUGGAGUUCGGUGAGGGGAGACUGGAAUUCCUGGUGUGAGCGGUGAAAUGCGCAGAUAUCAGGAGGAACACCAUGGCGAAGGCAGCUCGCUGGGACGUACUGACGCUGAGACGCGAAAGCGUGGGGAGCAAACAGG